rnacentral:rRNA from 1 species
UGGGAAUAUUGCACAAUGGGGGAAACCCUGAUGCAGCGACGCCGCGUGAACGAAGAAGGUAUUCGUAUCGUAAAGUUCUGUCCUAUGGGAAGAUAAUGACAGUACCAUAGAAGAAAGCUCCGGCUAAAUACGUGCCAGCAGCCGCGGUAAUACGUAUGGAGCGAGCGUUGUCCGGAAUUAUUGGGCGUAAAGGGUACGCAGGCGGUUUAAUAAGUCGAAUGUUAAAGAUCGGGGCUCAACCCCGCAAAGCAUUGGAAACUGAUAAACUUGAGUAGUGGAGAGGAAAGUGGAAUUCCUAGUGUAGUGGUGAAAUACGUAGAUAUUAGGAGGAAUACCAGUAGCGAAGGCGACUUUCUGGACACAAACUGACGCUGAGGUACGAAAGCGUGGGGAGCAAACAGG